UUUAUGCAGCAGCAUAGGACUGAAUUGCGGGAGGACUUGUAUGAUUCUACCCCUUUUCAUCUUUAUGCUGCUUUGGAG
rfam:Haemonchus contortus, ISE/inbred ISE, WGS project CAVP01000000 data, contig: Hcontortus_32040